rnacentral:rRNA from 1 species
GAUGGACGCUAGCGGCAGGCUUAAUACAUGCAAGUCGAGGGGCAGCAGGGGUAGCAAUACUCGCUGGCGACCGGCAAACGGGUGCGGAACACGUACGCAACCUUCCCAAAACUGGUGAAUAGCCCUCCGAAAGGAGGAUUAAUACACCGUACCAUAAUGAAGUGGCAUCACUUUAUUAUUAUAGCUCCGGCGGUUUUGGAUGGGCGUGCGCCUGAUUAGGUAGUUGGCGGGGUAACGGCCCACCAAGCCUGCGAUCAGUAACUGGUGUGAGAGCACGACCAGUCACACGGGCACUGAGACACGGGCCCGACUCCUACGGGAGGCAGCAGUAAGGAAUAUUGGUCAAUGGACGCAAGUCUGAACCAGCCAUGCCGCGUGAAGGAUGAAGGCCCUCUGGGUUGUAAACUUCUUUUAUCUGGGACGAAAAUGGGCAUUCUUGCUCACUUGACGGUACCAGAGGAAUAAGCACCGGCUAACUCCGUGCCAGCAGCCGCCGCGGUAA